GCUGUGUAAUUAUUCACCUCCGGUCAAUCUGUCUAUCUUGUACUAGGCUUUUAGUUCUCGUGUUUCAUUAACCCUAGGCGGAGCGAGAGUUACAGUAGUCGUCUUACCGGAAGUGGCGAACGACCUACUCGACGGAAAUACCAACUCGACAGAAACAGAGUUGGAGGAAACAGAAAACCGACGUUUGGCGAGUAUACAUAUAUAUGAACAUGAAUCAUCAUGAUCAUUAUUGGGGUAGACUGAAGAAAGAGAUACCUUUAAUUAAGGCCAAAUUACACUCAGAGAUCCUCUACAAGGAUUGGUCAAACCAGUUCUGACAGGGAUAUUCUGUGUCAUUGGAGAGAGCAUUUUGCUGCUGUGGCUAAUAGUGAGCCUUCUCAGAGGAGAAAAAAGAGCGAAUGAAGUUUGAAACGGUGAUACGAAAGCAAAUGGGUGGACCCAAUCUUCAUGGCGGUGUGUUGAUAUCAAACUUGUUGAGGUUGUAGAGCUGUCCGGCAUCUUAAAGGUGUAGGGUCACCGUCGAACAUGCGCACUUGAUUUCAAGCCGAUUUUAAGUGAGGUAGCUUUUGCGCGUAGCAAUUAUACUUAACAUCUGUUCAAGUGUUCUGGCAAAAUCAGUUUCGAUCACCAGUAAGCUCUUCAAAUGCUGUAAAUAUGUUGCGCAUUCGCAAGGGUCAAUAGAUGAAAGUAUUGCGAACUGGCUAUUUAGGUGUUGAGUGACGAGCAUGGCAGCAGCGUAGGCUUUAAACAAUACAAAUUUUCGGUGCUCACUGUGAACUGAGUGCCUAUGGUUACUCUGAGACUCAGUGAGAGAAAGACGUGACCAAGGCAGAUGCAACAUACCGGAAGGUGACCUGUGCUUUCUGGUCACGUCCAGAGUGUAAGGAACUCCGAUCUGGCUCUAAGUACAAGGAUGCUUGUCGAAUUUUACCAAAACUGCAGUGUAGCAACCUCAGUUUGAGGUUUUAGAAGAAGAAUUUUGAAAAGUACAUCUAGAAAGCCUAGAAUUUCGCUACCAGAGUCACGGUCUAACGCAAUCUCAUACUGCAACGUCUUGAUCGUUCUAAUUCAGGCUAUACAGAGGCUUCAGACUGCUUUGCCUUCAGUGCAAAUUAGAGAGCGUCUAAGUCCUCACGGUUACUGAGUGUUUGAAAAAGUGUACCCUUUUCAAAGGGAUGCAGUGCACAUGUUUGACCGUGACCCUGCAUCUUUAAGAUGCAAAAGGCGACAGGUUUAUGUGGUAUCCAACCGGAGCAUAUUAAUUAAGGUAGAGGUACUUCGUUGGUCAUAGUCUCUAUCAUCAAAGAUAGAUGUGGAGAUAUUACGGACGUGAAUAACUAUUGAGGCGUUGCUGUAUCUUCAGUGCUAUCUACGGUAUUAGAGUUAUUUUUGUUGGAUUGGAUAGAGAGCUUGUUAGUAACUAGUUCUAGGGAGCAACAAUUUGGUUUCAAGCAUAAACGCAGUUGUGCAGAUUUCUCAUUUGUGCUUAGAAGUGGGGUCGACUAUUAUCUGAAGAGGGGAAAUGCUAAGGUUUUUGUAUGAGCUCUGGAUUUAUCUAAAGCCUAUGAUAGAGUGCCGUACUACAAUCUUUUUAUCAAGUUAUUGGAAAUGGGAGUGCCAGUGUAUGUUGUAAGGCUGUUGUCGGUAUGGUGAAACAGACCAUGCAAGUCAAGUGGAAAACCCAACUGUCAGACAAGUUUACUGUUGGUAACGGUGUCCGACAACGAAAUGUUCUUUCUCCGCCCUUCUUUAAUAUGUAUAUUGAAAAUUUACUGAUAAGCCUAAAGAAUUGUGGAUAUGGUGCUAGGGUAGGUCCUGCAUUUGUUGGCUGCCCGGCUUAGGCUGAUGAUGUAACUUUGAUUUUCCCUGCUGUGAAGGAAACACAGGGGAUGCUUGACACGUGUGUACGUCAUUUGCAACUGAGAAGGGAUUGCUGUUGAACAGCAAGGAAAGCUUUGUAACUUUGUUCGUCAGGAAUCGGAAGAUCUCACAUUUUGAUCCCCAGUUGAUGGUUGCAUUGUUCCAUUCAAAUCAAACAUAUCACACUUAGGCGUGAGUAUGGAUUCAUUUCUACAACCUCAACAUAUGGUAGAGGCCAGAAUUAGAAAAUUCUUUGGAGCGGUGAAUGCGGUUCUGGGACAAAUUGGUGAUGUGUAGAUCUGACAAAGCAUGGCUAAAACUCUUUCCGGCACUGUCAUUUGGCUCUCAUCUGUGGGAUUAUGACAGAUCUGAUGUAUCAUACAUGGUUAAUUAAUCAAGCAUUUCAAAGGGUGUCAGACGAGGGCUUGCGAUGAGGAAGUGUGAAUCAGUUCAUAAUUGACUGAAGGAUGGUUUUCAAGAAGCUAUGACAAGGGCUAAGGACAUGAAGCUAAAAUAUUUACAAAGAGCAGGACAGUCGGUUAAUUAAUGUAGUAAGAAGUAUAUUUAUAUUAACUGUAGAUAAAAAGUUGCAUGUAGGAAUGGUGUAGAUAUAUUGUAGUUUGUGCUGUCUGUA